CCUACGGGCGGCAGCAGUGAGGAAUAUUGGUCAAUGGACGAGAGUCUGAACCAGCCAAGUAGCGUGAAGGAUGACUGCCCUAUGGGUUGUAAACUUCUUUUAUAUGGGAAUAAAACGUUCCACGUGUGGGAUUUUGUAUGUACCAUAUGAAUAAGGAUCGGCUAACUCCGUGCCAGCAGCCGCGGUAAUAUGGAGGAUCCGAGCGUUAUCCGGAUUUAUUGGGUUUAAAGGGAGCGUAGGUGGAUUGUUAAGUCAGUUGUGAAAGUUUGCGGCUCAACCGUAAAAUUGCAGUUGAAACUGGCAGUCUUGAGUACAGUAGAGGUGGGCGGAAUUCGUGGUGUAGCGGUGAAAUGCUUAGAUAUCACGAAGAACUCCGAUUGCGAAGGCAGUUCACUGGACUGCAACUGACACUGAGGCUCGAAAGUGUGGGUAUCAAACAGGAUUAGAUACCCUGGUAGUC
rnacentral:rRNA from 1 species